rnacentral:rRNA from 1 species
CACGUAGGGCGCGAGCGUUGUCCGGAAUUAUUGGGCGUAAAGAGCUCGUAGGCGGCCUGUUGCGUCCGCUGUGAAAGCCCGGGGCUUAACCCCGGGUCGGCAGUGGAUACGGGCAGGCUAGAGGUAGGUAGGGGAGAAUGGAAUUCCCGAUGUAGCGGUGAAAUGCGCAGAUAUCGGGAGGAACACCGGUGGCGAAGGCGGUUCUCUGGGCCUUACCUGACGCUGAGGAGCGAAAGCGUGGGGAGCGAACAGG